UCCCUGAUGGUAUAGUGGUUAGGACUCGGUGGUCUCACCAGCGCUGCCCGGGUUCAAUUCCUGGUUAGGGAA
rnacentral:tRNA from 1 species